CUCUUCCGAUCUGUGCAUACGACGGAUGCCUUGGCAGUAGAAGGCGAUGAAGGACGUGAUAAUCUGCGAUAAGCUUCGGUUAGCUGAUAAUAAGCUCUAACCCGGAGAUCUCCGAAUGGGAAAACCCAGUGAUCAUAAGAUCAUUAUCCUUAACUGAAUACAUAGGUUAAGGAGGCAAACCUAGGGAACUGAAACAUCUAAGUACCUAGAGGAAAAGAAAUCAACCGAGAUUCCCUUAGUAGCGGCGAGCGAACGGGGACCAGCCCUUAAGCAAUUUUUUGAUUAGUAGAAUGUUCUGGAAAGUUCAACGACACAGGGUGAUAGUCCCGUAUACGAAAAUCUUUUAAUUGUGAAAUCGAGUAAGGCGGCGCACGUGAAACGCUGUUUGAAUAUGGGGGGACCACCCUCCAAGGCUAAAUACUCUCUACUGACCGAUAGUGAACAAGUACCGUGAGGGAAAGGCGAAAAGAACCCCGGGAGGGGAGUGAAAUAGAACCUGAAAUCGUAUGCAUACAAGCAGUGGGAGCAGACUUGUUCUGUGACUGCGUACCUUUUGUAUAAUGGGUCAGCGACUUACUUCUCAGUAGCAAGGUUAACCAUUAGGGGAGCCGUAGGGAAACCGAGUCUUAAAUGGGCGUUUAGUUGCUGGGAGUAGACCCGAAACCGGGUGAUCUAUCCAUGGUCAGUGUGAAGGUUAGGUAAAACUAACUGGAGGCGCGAACCCACUUAUGUUGAAAAAUGAGGGGAUGAACUGUGGAUAGGGGUGAAAGGCCAAACAAACCCGGAGAUAGCUGGUUCUCUCCGAAAUCUAUUUAGGUAGAGCGUCAUGUAUUACUUCUGGGGGUAGAGCACUGUUAUGGCUAGCGGGUCGUCAAGACUUAGUAAACCAUUGCAAACUCCGAAUACCAGAAAGUAUGAGCAUGGCAGACACACUGCGGGUGCUAACGUCCGUAGUGGAAAGGGAAACAACCCAGACCGUCAGCUAAGGUCCCAAAAUUAUAGUUAAGUGGGAAACGAUGUGAAAAGGCCCAGACAGCCAGGAGGUUGGCUUAGAAGCAGCCAUUCCUUUAAAGAGUGCGUAAUAGCUCACUGGUCGAGUCGGUUUGCGCGGAAGAUUUAACGGGGCUAAACUAUAUACCGAAGCUGCGGAUCGCAAUUUAUUGCGAUGGUAGGAGAGCGUUCUGUAAGCCGUUGAAGGUGAACUGUGAGGUUUGCUGGAGGUAUCAGAAGUGCGAAUGCUGACAUGAGUAACGAUAAAGGGGGUGAAAAACCCCCUCGCCAGAAGUCCAAGGUUUCCUACGCAACGUUAAUCGGCGUAGGGUUAGUCGGCCCCUAAGGCGAGGCAGAAAUGCGUAGUCGAUGGGAAACGGGUUAAUAUUCCCGUACUUCAUAUAACUGCGAUGGGAAGACGGAGAAGGUUAGCUCAGCAAGGCGAUGGUUGUCCUUGUUCAAGCGUGUAGAAAUGGUUCUUAGGAAAAUCCGGGAACCUCUAUUUCAAGGCGUGAUAACGAUCCCUCUUUUGGGAGAAGUGAGUGAGACCAUGCUUCCAGGAAAAUCCUCUAAGCUUCAGGUUAUAUGAAACCGUACCCCAAACCGACACAGGUGGACGAGAUGAGAAUUCUAAGGCGCUUGAGAGAACUCGGGUGAAGGAACUAGGCAAAAUGACACCGUAACUUCGGGAGAAGGUGUACUCUUGUUAUGUGAUAUCACUUGCUGAUAAAGCAGAAAAGAGUUGAAAAUACUAGGUGGCUGCGACUGUUUAUUAAAAACACAGCACUCUGCAAACACGUAAGUGGACGUAUAGGGUGUGACUCCUGCCCGGUGCUUGAAGGUUAAUUGAUGAGGUUAGCGCUUGCGCGAAGCUUUUGAUCGAAGCCCAAGUAAACGGCGGCCGUAACUAUAACGGUCCUAAGGUAGCGAAAUUCCUUGUCGGG
rnacentral:rRNA from 1 species